rnacentral:rRNA from 1 species
AGUGAACGCUGGCGGCAUGCCUAACACAUGCAAGUCGAACGGCAGCACCUUAAUAGCCUUCUCUUAUGGGUGUCGUCUGGCGGCCGGGUGAGGAAUAAAUCGGAAUCUAUUUUUUCCCGGCUUAUAUCGUAGCGAGACUAACGCUAUCUCAUCAUCCGUCGUACGGCAGAAUGCAGGCGGUCUUGGGACCCUGCGUGCUUGUAGGUGCGGAUGACGGCUGGGCUUGUUGGCGGGGUAAUGGCCCACCUAGGCGACGAUGCGUAGCUGGUCUGCGAGGGUGAUCAGCCACACUGGAACUGAGACACGGUCCAGACUCCUACGGGAGGCAGCAGUAGGGGAUGUGAGACUAUGGGCGCAAGCCGGAGCCAGACAUAGCGCGUGGGUGUAGAAGGUCUUCGGGUUGUAAAGCUCUUUUGUUGGGGAAGAAGAGGAGCCGAUUAAGAUCGCAGUGUGGUGACGGUACCCAAAGAAGAAGCACCGGCUAACUACGUG